UGGGGAAUAUUGCACAAUGGGCGCAAGCCUGAUGCAGCCAUGCCGCGUGUAUGAAGAAGGCCUUCGGGUUGUAAAGUACUUUCAGCGGGGAGGAAGGGAGUAAAGUUAAUACCUUUGCUCAUUGACGUUACCCGCAGAAGAAGCACCGGCUAACUCCGUGCCAGCAGCCGCGGUAAUACGGAGGGUGCAAGCGUUAAUCGGAAUUACUGGGCGUAAAGCGCACGCAGGCGGUUUGUUAAGUCAGAUGUGAAAUCCCCGGGCUCAACCUGGGAACUGCAUCUGAUACUGGCAAGCUUGAGUCUCGUAGAGGGGGGUAGAAUUCCAGGUGUAGCGGUGAAAUGCGUAGAGAUCUGGAGGAAUACCGGUGGCGAAGGCGGCCCCCUGGACGAAGACAGACGCUCAGGUGCGAAAGCGUGGGGAGCAAACAGG
rnacentral:rRNA from 1 species